rnacentral:rRNA from 1 species
AUUGAACGCUGGCGGCAUGCCUUACACAUGCAAGUCGAACGGUAACAGGUCUUCGGAUGCUGAUGAGUGGCGAACGGGUGAGUAAUGCAUCGGAACGUGCCCAGUAGUGGGGGAUAGCCCGGCGAAAGCCGGAUUAAUACCGCAUACGACCUGAGGGUGAAAGGGGGGGAUCGCAAGACCUCUCGCUAUUGGAGCGGCCGAUGUCAGAUUAGCUAGUUGGUGGGGUAAAGGCCUACCAAGGCAACGAUCUGUAGUUGGUCUGAGAGGACGACCAGCCACACUGGGACUGAGACACGGCCCAGACUCCUACGGGAGGCAGCAGUGGGGAAUUUUGGACAAUGGGCGCAAGCCUGAUCCAGCAAUGCCGCGUGCAGGAAGAAGGCCUUCGGGUUGUAAACUGCUUUUGGCAGGGAAGAAAUCUUCUGGGUUAAUACCUCGGGAGGAUGACGGUACCUGAAGAAUAAGCACCGGCUAACUACGUGCCAGCCGCCGCUGUAA